rnacentral:rRNA from 1 species
UACGGAGGGAGCUAGCGUUGUUCGGAAUUACUGGGCGUAAAGCGCACGUAGGCGGCUUUGUAAGUUAGAGGUGAAAGCCCGGGGCUCAACCCCGGAAUUGCCUUUAAGACUGCAUCGCUUGAAUCCGGGAGAGGUGAGUGGAAUUCCGAGUGUAGAGGUGAAAUUCGUAGAUUAUUCGGAAGAACACCAGUGGCGAAGGCGACUUAC